GUGUGGACGGGAUAAGUGCUGAAAGCAUCUAAGCAUGAAGCCCCCCUCAAGAUGAGAUUUCCCAACUUCGGUUAUAAGAUCCCUCAAAGAUGAUGAGGUUAAUAGGUUCGAGGUGGAAGCAUGGUGACAUGUGGAGCUGACGAAUACUAAUCGAUCGAAGACUUAAUCAA
rnacentral:rRNA from 1 species